UGAGGAAUAUUGGUCAAUGGACGGAAGUCUGAACCAGCCAAGUCGCGUGAAGGAUGACUGCCCUAUGGGUUGUAAACUUCUUUUGUAUUGGGAGAAUAAGCCUUACGUGUAAGGUGAUGACUGUACAAUACGAAUAAGCAUCGGCUAACUCCGUGCCAGCAGCCGCGGUAAUACGUAGGUGGCAAGCGUUGUCCGGAAUUACUGGGUGUAAAGGGAGCGCAGGCGGGAAGUCAAGUCAGCUGUGAAAACUAUGGGCUCAACCCAUAGACUGCAGUUGAAACUGAUUUUCUUGAGUGAAGUAGAGGUAGGCGGAAUUCCGAGUGUAGCGGUGAAAUGCGUAGAUAUUCGGAGGAACACCAGUGGCGAAGGCGGCCUACUGGGCUUUAACUGACGCUGAGGCUCGAAAGUGUGGGGAGCAAACA
rnacentral:rRNA from 1 species